CCUAACCCGUGUUCGGCUGUUCGGCACUUCGAACUCCUUUCCCCUCUCGAAAGCCUUCGGUUUCCGCUGACUCUCCCUCUUUUUCUUUCAAAAUCGCGAAGAGCUUGGGGUUGGUUGUUUGUGAGGAGCUUGAGAUGAACCGAAGUGUUUUGUUCGCUAUAUUGAGUAGCUUGGACCUGAAAUGGCUUAUUCAUAGUGAAGUUUGACAGAGAAGUAUUUAGUUUUUUUUUUAAUUUUAUGUGGCAAGAGUUAGCUUAAAUGAGAUAAUAUUUGUGAUCAAACUGUAAGUAUCAUUAAUACGAUAUUCCGUUUCGUAUAUAAAUAAAGAGGAAAAUUCUGAAAAACUUGUUUAGAAUACAGAGCUGAAGAUGAAUAUUUUGCAUAACUUUCAUGAUUAUAAUCUAUCCUCUGUCUCACUUCCUGAAUACUUCCAUUUCCUGCAAACUUCAUUUUUUUAGUGAAAUUAAAAUCUUGGAAGAAAUGAGGUAAUUAAUUAUGCAAUUUGCUAAAUUAGUUUUAUGUAUUUAGUUUGACAGAGAAGUAAUUAGUUUUUUUUUAAAUAUCAUUCAUUUUAUUGGUUAAUUUCCAAUGGAAUUGAUCUUAUCAGUCCAAUUUUAUUUAUCAUAGAUUAAGAAUCUUUUUCAAGAUGUCAGUUUGCUUCAAAACAAUUCUAUGGAUUUGGUGGUUCCGCACCUCCAAACACUUUUAAUGAUGAUGAAAGGGCAUGUUACAUUGAUUCUUUAGUUGAAGUUAUUGAAUGGAGUUUUGUUUAUACUGUUAACUUUAUGGAAUAUUUACAUACAUGCCGGUGUGCCACUUAAUUCCUAUAUAUUUACUAUCUAACAUUUAAAUCACAAUUUUUACAUAUGUCACCUUUCUUAUACUGUUAACAAUUGUAAUGGCAAAAAUUUAUUUAUUAGACAUGUGUAUACAUAGGAAUUAAGUGGGUAUGUGUGUAUCUUCCUUUUUUAUUGUAUGUUUUAAAUUUUACCAAACUGGCAUAUACUGGUAAAGCAUGUAUUUUCCUGGAUCAGGAUACAUGAAGGAAAGGAGUAGCGUUGCUGUUAUAGGACUGAGCGUUCAUACUGCGCCUGUGGAGAUGCGAGAAAAGCUUGCUGUUCCUGAAGCUCAGUGGCCCCCGCACCAUUGGAGAGCUAUGCAACCUGAACCAUAUAGAGGAAGCGGCUGUUCUUAGCACCUGCAAGGCUGCAAUCGAAUAGAGAUUUUGAGAAAAGAUAAUUAAUAGAGCAGAGCAUGUUUAUAAAAGCACGAGCAACCAAAAUAAGGUUGGGAUUUUCCAUGAAGAAAUGGGAGAGACUGGGUUCAAGCAAAAACAUAUUUCUUUUAAGUAAAAAGAUUAUCCUUUUUACAGUCUUUUCCACAUUUACAAAUUGCUUUCAGUUGUGUUCUAGAUCAGUUGUACCAUAAGAAGUUGUUCUGGGAUUUGACAGAAGAAGAAUUUAACAUUGCUCGAAAACUCUUAUAGGAAAAUGACAUCAUAAUUUCUUGCAAGCAUUGCAUGUUGAUUUCUGAAGUUACAAUUGAUAUGCAAUUUACAGAUUUAUUGACGAA